rnacentral:rRNA from 1 species
AUUGAACGCUGGCGGAAUGCUUUACGCAUGCAAGUCGAACGGCAGCACGGACUUCGGUCUGGUGGCGAGUGGCGAACGGGUGAGUAAUGUAUCGGAACGUGCCCAGUCGUGGGGGAUAACGUAGUGAAAAUUACGCUAAUACCGCAUACGAUCUAUGGAUGAAAGCGGGGGAUCGCAAGACCUCGCGCGAUUGGAGCGGCCGAUAUCAGAUUAGGUAGUUGGUGGGGUAUAGGCCCACCAAGCCAACGAUCUGUAGCUGGUCUGAGAGGACGAACAGCCACACUGGAACGGAGACACGGUCCAGACUCCUACGGGAGGCAGCAGUGGGGAAUUUUGGACAAUGGGCGAAAGCCUGAUCCAGCCAUUCCGCGUGCAGGAUGAAGGCCCUCGGGUUGUAAACUGCUUUUGUACAGAACGAAAAGGUUUCUACUAAUACUAGGAGCUCAUGACGGUACUGUAAGAAUAAGCACCGGCUAACUACGUGCCAGCAGCCGCCGUAA